GAACGCUGGCGGCGUGCUUGAUACAUGCAAGUCAAGGAGAACAUUAUCUUCGGAUAAUAAGUAAACUGGCGAACGGGUGAGUAACGCGUAAACAACUUGCCUCAGAGAUUGGGACAACAUUGGGAAACCAGUGCUAAUACCAAAUAAUGCAGCGGGCUCUUCGGAGCACAGUUGUUAAAGUAGGCUUCGGCUUACACUUUGAGAUAGGUUUGCGUCCGAUUAGUUAGUUGGUAGGGUAAAAGCCUACCAAGACCAAGAUCGGUAGCUGGUCUGAGAGGAUGAUCAGCCACACUGGAAUUGAGAUACGGUCCAGACUCCUACGGGAGGCAGCAGUAAGGAAUUUUGCACAAUGGGCGAAAGCCUGAUGCAGCAACGCCGCGUGAACGAUGAAGUUUUUAGGAAUGUAAAGUUCUGUCGUAUGGGAAGAGAUCUUUCGAAUGUUAAUACCAUUCGUUAAUGACGGUACCAUACAAGAAAGCACCGGCUAA
rnacentral:rRNA from 1 species